GAGAUAACGUAGGGCAGAUCCUGAGGGUGGACUCCGUUGCCUCGUUAGGGAGAAGUCUCUAUAGCAUCUUUCUACACUAGAGGAAGAUUAGCCCUGAGCUAACAUCUGCUGCCAAUCCUCACCUUUUUUUCUGAGGAAGACUGGCCCUGAGCUAACAUUCGUGCUCAUCUUCCUCUACUUUAUAUAUGGGACGCCUGCCACAGCAUGGCUCAACAAGCAGUGCAUGGGGCUGCACCCAGGAUCCGAACUGCUGAACCCCGGGCUGCCGAAGCAGAACAUGUGAACUCCACUGCUGCACCAGCAGGUGGGAGUCAAGAGAGUGCACACAGAAUAUAAAGCCCCUUCUCAGGAACACAUUUUGAGCUCCUUGGACCACACCUGAUAGUUUAUACUAACAAGAUGACUCAGGGUGGGGCCAGCGACACUAGAUAGUCUUUCUGUGUGGACUGGCCACA
rnacentral:lncRNA from 1 species